AUAUUUCUGCUGAUAAAAAUACCGCAUGUGCUUCACAUGAUUUUUAUAUUUAAAAGCUUUGUGUUUUUCUUUCUAGGGAACAGGAUUCUCUGGUUAAGACCUGAAAACACAGAGUGUGUUCCCAAGUUACAUGCAAGUUUUGCUGCAUACCUUCAUUAUGAUCAGCACUGGCACUUGAGUGAUGCGCUGCUGAGAAACCGAUUUGCUCUUCCAAGAUGUCAGUGACACGAUCUGUACGCUCAGCAGUUCUUUGAGGAGAUUUUUGCAGAGAGGAGGACCUUGAGGAGGAGAGGGGGGCUGGAAAUACUGAGCCCAGAACCAUGGAAAGCGUUGCUUUUAAUCUCUAGCUGUAACCAUGUCUGUAGCAAAGUGUUAACUCCGCUGCACAUGAACACACUUCAUCUGUGCAAAGAUAUUGCGCGGCGUAUUAAAAUGUAUGUCAUGCUGGAGAACAAAGAGCACGUGACAUUAUGGACUGAAUUCAUAGUUACAAUAAAAGAAGCAAUGAAAAUUCA
rnacentral:lncRNA from 1 species